rnacentral:rRNA from 1 species
GACAGAGGUGCCAAGCGUUAGGCGGAAUCACUGGGCUUAAAGCGUGUGUAGGUGGAUGCCUAAGUACCUUGUGAAAUCCCACGGCUUAACCGUGGAACUGCUCGGUAUACUGGGUGUCUUGAGCCACGUAGGGGCUACCGGAACAAAUGGUGGAGCGGUGAAAUGCGUAGAUAUCAUGUGGAACGCCAAUGGUGAAAACAGGUAGCUGGGAGUGUGCUGACACUGAGACACGAAAGCCAGGGGAGCGAACGGG